rnacentral:lncRNA from 1 species
GUGAUCGAGCUCACGCCGGCCCUUCCCCACAAGUCGUUGACCGAGUAUAGGGAGGAAAUCCAGAGGAUGUAUGAGGGGGGGCUCACCGUUUCAAGCCGAGGUGGCUGGAAAAGCUGACAAAUUCGUGCCUACGUCGAUGAUUCGACCUCUGUUGUACUUUACCCAUUGAUUUGUUGUAGCCGAGGUGGCCGGAAAAGCUGACAAAUUCGUGCCUACGUCGAUGAUUCGACCUCUGUUGUACUUUACCCAUUGAUUUGUUGUAUAUAUAAAUAUAUAUAUAUAUGUAUGUAUGUAUGAACUGUUUGUAUAGUAAAACCCUCGAAUUGUCGAAUCUUGAUGGUAAACCAAUCCAAGUAUUUGCUCUUUCUGGCUUUUACUUAUGUGACAUUGAUGUGCACUCAUGCAAAAUCUCAUUCGGUGGAUUUGCGUUCUUUAUGUGCAGUAAACAUUUGAGGAUGAAACUGUUUGAGCUGCAAGAGAGCUUGAUGUUUUACUACCAAUCCAAAGUUUUAUUUCAAUGCAGCAGCACUCAUGCGUGACAAUUACAGUCAGGGAUUGCUCUCUAUCAACCACUAUCUGGGCUAUGUUGAGAGCACUCUUCGGCCGAAAAUGGGUAAUGAAUCUGUAAUCAGGAAAUCGGCUUUACUUCUUUUGACUGGAUGAUGCAAAAGCUUACUAUCGAGAAUUGGGCGUGCGCUGAUCGCGCGAACUCAACUUUGCGCCCACCUAGCAUGAAGUCGAGAACUGGUGCCGUAUGGCAACCCGGAACUCCUCCCAUGCUCUGCAAAACUAUCUGACAUUUCUCGAACUGACGAAUUUAAUGCAGAAAGUCAUAUGCUUCCAAUGCAACCCCACUUUCUGGACAUGAUUUAUGCACGGCUAUUAUCAAGGAUUCGAUUCAGCAACAGGAC